rnacentral:rRNA from 1 species
UUGACCUCAAAUCAGGUAGGACUACCCGCUGAACUUAAGCAUAUCAAUAAGCGGAGGAAAAGAAACCAACAGGGAUUGCCUCAGUAGCGGCGAGUGAAGCGGCAAAAGCUCAAAUUUGAAAUCUGGCGUCUUUGGCGUCCGAGUUGUAAUUUGAAGAAGGUAUCUUUGGGCCCGGCUCUUGUCUAUGUUCCUUGGAACAGGACGUCACAGAGGGUGAGAAUCCCGUGCGAUGAGAUGGCCCGGGUCUAUGUAAAGUUCCUUCGACGAGUCGAG